rnacentral:rRNA from 1 species
GACGAACGCUGGCGGCGUGCUUAACACAUGCAAGUCGAACGAUGAAGCCCUUCGGGGUGGAUUAGUGGCGAACGGGUGAGUAACACGUGGGCGAUCUGCCCUGCACUCUGGGACAAGCCCUGGAAACGGGGUCUAAUACCGGAUAUGACCUGCUGAGGCAUCUUGGCGGGUGGAAAGCUCCGGCGGUGCAGGAUGAGCCCGCGGCCUAUCAGCUUGUUGGUGGGGUGAUGGCCUACCAAGGCGACGACGGGUAGCCGGCCUGAGAGGGCGACCGGCCACACUGGGACUGAGACACGGCCCAGACUCCUACGGGAGGCAGCAGUGGGGAAUAUUGCACAAUGGGCGGAAGCCUGAUGCAGCAACGCCGCGUGAGGGAUGACGGCCUUCGGGUUGUAAACCUCUUUCAGCAGGGAAGAAGCGUGAGUGACGGUACCUGCAGAAGAAGCACCGGCUAACUACGUGCCAGCCGCCGCCGUAA